GGGGGAAAGGGACGUGGGAUAAGGAGCAGCUGCAGUAAUCAGCCACCCUACUCUACAGCUACAACUACAUCCCAUCCCCAUCUCUGCUACAGAAAUCAGCCGCCCCACUUCACCAAUCUGUUAGUCAAAGGUUCUACAAUUUUUUUCAAGUUUGGCAGCAACUCUUUCCAUUUUUGCUGCUUGCAGCAACAUUCCCUUUUGUCAACAUUUGCAGCUACAACCACGCCCUAUCAGCCACUCUACUGUUGUACUGCUCAAUGAUCACACAACCCCUACUUUAGUCUCACAUUUCUGCUCCCAACACUUCACACUUCUCCUCCAUCUUGCACCAGCGAAUGCAAAGAGCAAAGGGGACUUGUUUGAAUAUUCUGCCAAGACUUCAAGUUCAGUUGAUCCAUCCAACACUGAAGAAGGGUGAAGGAACCCUCAUUCAUUACUCUGACUCAACCAGAAAAAAAAAAAAACUUCAAGAGAUAUUUCACAACACGUUCAAUUCCAACAACAACCCAAUUGUUUGAAAGCAUUCAAGGUCAAGGUCGGGAAUAACAGUCAAUCAAGGAACCACUGAAUCACAGAGAUUUCAUAUCAGGUUGAGCAGCUGCCGAUGGUGAUGAAGUGACGAGCGGGAUUCUUUUGUCUUAUUAUGUAUUAAUGAACUCUAGGGUUACAUGUCUUCAUACAUGUAAUCAGAACCUUAUUCCGCUGCGUACUCAGAAGUUUUAUGUUUAUUUGGCUAAGUCAGAGAUAUCUGAACUUACUAGUUAUUUGAGUCUAUACGACUAAACUUCUGUUAUAUUAUAAAUAUUCCUUUUGUUAAAUGAUGAAAUGUGAUCCUUUCUUGUUUGAUUA